GGAGUGGUCAAUCCCAUCUUGACACACGCACCGACAAGUCAAGUACUUGACUACACCCAGCAGCCUUCCGUCACUGAAUUAAAAAUUCAGGUAGUCUAGUGCCUAAGUGCAGUGAGUUGCUUGCAAGUCACCAUGGCGGUCUCAGGUCGGAGGGAUAUUUAUACCCAUAUUCCAUCGGAGCAAAUCUUGACAGCAGAAAUAGCUCCGG
rnacentral:lncRNA from 1 species